rnacentral:rRNA from 1 species
UUUGGGUUUUUAACUUAGGUUUGGGUGGCGGACGGGUGAGUAACGCGUAAAGAACUUGCCUCACAGCUAGGGACAACAUUUGGAAACGAAUGCUAAUACCUAAUAUUAUGAUAAUAGGGCAUCCUAUAAUUAUGAAAGCUAUAAGCGCUGUGAGAGAGCUUUGCGUCCCAUUAGCUAGUUGGAGAGGUAACGGCUCACCAAGGCGAUGAUGGGUAGCCGGCCUGAGAGGGUGAUCGGCCACAAGGGGACUGAGACGCGGCCCUUACUCCUACGGGAGGCAGCAGUGGGGAAUAUUGGACAAUGGACCAAGAGUCUGAUCCAGCAAUUCUGUGUGCACGAUGAAGUUUUUCGGAAUGUAAAGUGCUUUCAGUUGGGAAGAAAAAAAUGACGGUACCAACAGAAGAAGUGACGGCUAAAUACGUGCCAGCAGCCGCGGUAAUACGUAUGUCACGAGCGUUAUCCGGAUUUAUUGGGCGUAAAGCGCGUCUAGGUGGUUAUAUAAGUCUGAUGUGAAAAUGCAGGGCUCAACUCUGUAUUGCGUUGGAAACUGUAUAACUAGAGUACUGGAGAGGUAAGCGGAACUACAAGUGUAGAGGUGAAAUUCGUAGAUAUUUGUAGGAAUGCCGAUGGGGAAGCCAGCUUACUGGACAGAUACUGACGCUGAAGCGCGAAAGCGUGGGUAGCAAACAGGAUUAGAUACCCUGGUAGUCCACGCCGUAAACGAUGAUUACUAGGUGUUGGGGGUCGAACCUCAGCGCCCAAGCAAACGCGAUA